UACGUAGGGACCGAGCGUUGUCCGGAUUCAUUGGGCGUAAAGAGCUCGUAGGCGGUUUGUCGCGUCUGCCGUGAAAGUCCGGGGCUCAACUCCGGAUCUGCGGUGGGUACGGGCAGACUAGAGUGAUGUAGGGGAGACUGGAAUUCCUGGUGUAGCGGUGAAAUGCGCAGAUAUCAGGAGGAACACCGAUGGCGAAGGCAGGUCUCUGGGCAUUAACUGACGCUGAGACGCGAAAGCGUGGGGAGCGAACAGG
rnacentral:rRNA from 1 species